rnacentral:rRNA from 1 species
ACGCUGGCGGCAGGCCUAACACAUGCAAGUCGAGCGGAAACGAGUUAACUGACCCUUCGGGUGACGUUAACGGCGUCGAGCGGCGGACGGGUGAGUAAUGCCUGGGAAAUUGCCCUGAUGUGGGGGAUAACCAUUGGAAACGAUGGCUAAUACCGCAUAAUGCCUUCGGGCCAAAGAGGGGGACCUUCGGGCCUCUCGCGUCAGGAUAUGCCCAGGUGGGAUUAGCUAGUUGGUGAGGUAAUGGCUCACCAAGGCGACGAUCCCUAGCUGGUCUGAGAGGAUGAUCAGCCACACUGGAACUGAGACACGGUCCAGACUCCUACGGGAGGCAGCAGUGGGGAAUAUUGCACAAUGGGCGCAAGCCUGAUGCAGCCAUGCCGCGUGUGUGAAGAAGGCCUUCGGGUUGUAAAGCACUUUCAGCAGUGAGGAAGGCGGGUACGUUAAUAGCGURYUCGUUUGACGUUAGCUGCAGAAGAAGCACCGGCUAACUCCGUGCCAGCAGCCGCGGUAAUACGGAGGGUGCGAGCGUUAAUCGGAAUUACUGGGCGUAAAGCGCAUGCAGGUGGUUCGUUAAGUCAGAUGUGAAAGCCCGGGGCUCAACCUCGGAACUGCAUUUGAAACUGGCGGACUAGAGUACUGUAGAGGGGGGUAGAAUUUCAGGUGUAGCGGUGAAAUGCGUAGAGAUCUGAAGGAAUACCGGUGGCGAAGGCGGCCCCCUGGACA